rnacentral:rRNA from 1 species
UACGGAGGGUGCAAGCGUUAUCCGGAUUCACUGGGUUUAAAGGGUGCGUAGGUGGGCAUGUAAGUCAGUGGUGAAAUCUCCGUGCUUAACACGGAAACUGCCAUUGAUACUAUGUUUCUUGAAUUAUCUGGAGGUCAGCGGAAUAUGUCAUGUAGCGGUGAAAUGCUUAGAUAUGACAUAGAACACCAAUUGCGAAGGCAGCUGGCUACAGGUGGAUUGACACUGAGGCACGAAAGCGCGGGGAUCAAACAGG